UACGUAGGGUGCGAGCGUUAAUCGGAAUUACUGGGCGUAAAGCGUGCGCAGGCGGUUUUGUAAGACAGAGGUGAAAUCCCCGGGCUCAACCUGGGAACUGCCUUUGUGACUGCAAGGCUGGAGUGCGGCAGAGGGGGAUGGAAUUCCGCGUGUAGCAGUGAAAUGCGUAGAUAUGCGGAGGAACACCGAUGGCGAAGGCAAUCCCCUGGGCCUGCACUGACGCUCAUGCACGAAAGCGUGGGGAGCAAACAGGAUUAGAUACCCUGGUAGUCCACGCCCUAAACGAUGUCAACUGGUUGUUGGGUCUUAAUUGACUCAGUAACGAAGCUAACGCGUGAAGUUGACCGCCUGGGGAGUACGGCCGCAAGGUUGAA
rnacentral:rRNA from 1 species